rnacentral:rRNA from 1 species
UACGUAGGGCGCAAGCGUUGUCCGGAAUUAUUGGGCGUAAAGAGCUCGUAGGUGGUCUGUUACGUCUGCUGUGAAAACCCAGGGCUUAACCCUGGGCCUGCAGUGGAUACGGGCAGACUAGAGGUAGGUAGGGGAGAAUGGAAUUCCCGGUGUAGCGGUGAAAUGCGCAGAUAUCAGGAAGAACACCCGUGGCGAAGGCGGCUCUCUGGGACGGUACUGACGCUGAGACGCGAAAGCGUGGGGAGCGAACAGG